CGGGGCCGUAGCACUGUCUGA
rnacentral:miRNA from 2 species